ACAAACAACAGAUAACAACAGGAUAUGAUUAUUAUCCUGUCAUAUCCUAUCCUAUCCUGGUCACUAAACGGGCCCUUGGUGUUCUACAGCUGCUACUUUUCAAAUUUUGAAUUUGAAAAAACUCAAAUUUCUUAAUUCAUAUCUUCCUCUUCAAUUUCAUUUGGGUUAUAAUUUUGUGUUUUUAUUUCUAUUUUGUGUUCUAAUCUGAAUAGGUUCUAAAGAAAGAUCGAUUUAGACGGCCAUGUUCACCUUCCACUGUGCGCAGCUACACUUGCCCUUGCAUUUCGGUAACAUUGUGUAGAUAUUUGAUGCAUUGAUUUGAAUGAUGUAGUAGAAGCUUGAUGAUACAUGGUUAUUUUUAUCCUAUAUUCAGGUGGGUGCCUAUUGCUCAGGUAAUGAAAACUGGGAAAGAGUCCUUGCAAUAAGGUAAUGAAAUAUUCACUUUGUAGGUAGCAUGUAUAAAUUACUCAUUCCUAGAUUAAAAGAUUAUAAGUUUAUGAGCAUAAAUCAGUUCAAAAAUCGAUGUGAUCUGCUGAAGUGCUUUAAACUAAAAUCUGCUUCUGCUGUUUUGCAAUUUCAGUGUUAGCGGCUUCUGAUGUUUCAUUUUUUGGGCUCUUUUAGCUUGCCAGAUUAAAAUCUUUUAUUUUGAAAUUUCAAUUCUUUAUAGCCUGUUUUUCUACAGAAAACUUCAAUUUUGAAUAGAUCAAAGGAAAUAAUUGAGAAAACUGAAGUAUGUGGGUGCUGGGUUAGUAUUUUAUUGCAAGAUAUUUGGAUUAUAAUGUGCUUGCUGCAGUUCAAUAUUAUUAGUGAUCCUAUCUUUUCUGUUUACUUCAAACCGUUCCUGUUCUGACAACCCAUGAAGGUACUUACAAAAAAGUUGUUAUCCAUUGUGUGGUUGGAAGGAAAUGAUCAUUUUUCAAGUUGUUAUCCAGAGUUUAUUAUUUAACCUCUAUUGAAAAUUCUUUCUUUUGUUGCUUCUCUCACUUCGAGGGUCCUUUUUCAAUUUUAUCUUUUUCUUAUUACUAUAUGUUUAUUUUUCAUUCUCUUGGAUUUGAUGUUUACCGGAUCCAUUUUGCUAUUUUUUGAGUUUUUGGUUAGGAUUGAUAUUUUUAUUAUCUGAAAUCAUUGGACAUGAGUCACUGCAUGAAGAGGAGGCAUUGAAGGGAUACAAUUACGGAGACUGCGGGAAGCAGUUCGAUUUGGGUAAGUGACAACCUAAUUUAGACGACAUUGUUCUUUUUAAAUGUGUUGCCCUUCAAAUUCAAUUUCUACACCAA